AUCACUGAUAGCUCAGUUGGUUAGAGCAUGAUGCUGAUAACAUCAAGGUCACUGGUUUGAUCCCCAUAUGGGAUA